rnacentral:rRNA from 1 species
GACGAACGCUGGCGGCGCGCUUAACACAUGCAAGUCGAACGAGGGGCGAACGGGUGAGUAAUACGUGAGUAACCUGCCCUCUCUUUGGGAUAAGCCUUGGAAACGGGGUCUAAUAACGGAUAAAGGGGGCUGGGCUCGCGGCCUAUCAGCUUGUUGGUGGGGUGAUGGCCUACAAAGGCGGUGACGGGUAGCCGGCCUUGGAGGGUGACCGGCCACAUUGAGGCGGAGCGACGGCCACGACUACAACGCGAGGCAGCGGUGGGGGAUAUUGGACAAUGGGCGGAAGCCUGAUGCAGCGACGCCGCGUGGGGGAUGAAGUCUUUCGGGUUGUAAACCUCUUUCGCGAGCGAACGGGUAGGUAGAGAAGAGACGCCGGCUAACUACGUGCCAGCAGCCGCGGUAAUAC